UGUGCUCGUUACGGUUUAAUAGUGAACAAAACCCAAGACCUGCCUGUGUGGUCUCCCAGCACCUUCAGCAAGAGCAGCUUCCAGCAGGACUCACAACCUGCACAGCUCUUGGCUUUCCCCUCGGUGUAGUGGGGAGCUGUCUUGGUCCUCUGUGUCUCCGGGAAUGGAGAGUGCAGCAGGCGUCUGACUUCCUGAGAUAGUUGGUCUAUUAUCCAAGGUGGCAUUACUGCCUGCCUCCCUCCUAGAGAGAGGCAGCUCACCAUGGCUGGGUGCAGCUAAGAAAGGGUUAAACAUUCUCAAAAGUCCCUUUGCACCUGUGGUCGCUAGGGAGGCCUCCGCUUUACCAUCCAUUCCAGGACACAAAGGACAAAUGAAGAACGUCCUUAAGUUCCAGGUAUUAACAGUGUGACCACAAGGUGGCCCCCAGGGCCAGUCUUAAAUAUAAACUCACUUCUUUUUCUUUUUUCAUUUUUUAAGUCAGGGUUUCUCUUGCCCUGGCUAUAGACCAAGAUAGUCUUGAACUCAAAGAUCUGCCUCCCUCUGCCUCCUGAGUGCUGGGAUUAAAGGUGUGGGCCAUCACUUUUCCGGCUGAAAAGAAACUUUUUAAUUAUAGCAUAGUGCAGAUCGUAAUAUAACAAACAUGCGUGAAGAAUUGGUCACCUGGGAUUAGCAAGUGUUAAAAUGAUCAUGUUUUUAGGGGCUGGAGAGAAGGUGGCUUAGUAGUUAAGAGCACUUACAGAAGCAUUUAGUAGUUAAGGGCUGCUCUUACCGAAGUUCAGUUCCUAGGGACCACAUGGUGGCUCAAACCUGUCCAGUUCCAGGGAAUCUGAUGCCCUCUUCUGGCCUUCCUGAACACUACAUUAUGCAGUGUACAUAUAUUCCUACAGGCAAAACAGCCAUAUACAUAAAAGUAAGUAAAUAAAUAAGUAAGUAAAUAAAUAAAGCAGUCAUGUUUUGUAAGCUGCAAGGAAGAGUCUCAAAUGGCCAUCCCAUUUGCAUCUCUGCUGUCUGAUAUCACAGCAUGGAGAACUGAAGAGUCUUUUGUAGCCCCGCAUGGUGGUGAUGCCGCUAACCCAGUCCUCAGAAAACUGAGCUGGAAAAUGGAAAAGCUGAGGCUAGCCUGGGCUACAUAAUGAGACCUUGUCUCAGAAAAACAAGCAAGCAAGCAAACAAACCAAACACAUGCAAACAAGACCCAUUCCGAGGAGACAGCUGAUCUGGAAGGCGCCUGCAGUUAAACCUGAUGACCUGUGUUUGAGCUCCAUCCUUGGUACCAUCUGAUAGGAGAGAAUGCCCGAAAGUUGUCCUCGCUCCUCUUACACACACACACGCACACACACUGCAACACACACACACACACACACACAUGCACACACUGCACCACACACACAGAGGCACACAGAGGCACACACUGCACCACACACACACACACAGGCACAUAUUGUAUCAUAAACACAGACACACAGGCAUACACUGCACCACACACACACAUAAUACAUACACACACAACACACACACAGGCACACAUACACACACAGAGGCACACACUGCACCACACACACACAUACAGAGGCACACACUGCACCAUACACACACAGACACACAGGCAUACACUGCACCAUACACACACAAUACACACACACACACACACACACAGAGGCACACACUUCACUAUACACAUACACCAUACACACACACACACACACACACACACACACACACACACACACACAGGCACACACACAAUUCCAAAACAAAAGAAACCCUUUGCUACAGGAUUGCAGAGAUGGCUCAGUGGUUAGGAACACUGGCUGCUUUUCCAGAGAAGCUGUGUUCAAUUCCCAGCACCCACAUGGCAGCUCACAACCAUUUGUAGCUCCAGUCCCAGGGGAUCCGAUGCUCUCUUCUGGCCUCCACAGGCACCAGACAUACAUGUAGGCAAACAAUCGUAGGCAGGAGAAAAAAUAAAAGAAGAAGAAGAAGAAGGAGACGGAGAAGAAGAAGAAGAAGAAGAAGAAGAAGAAGAAGAAGAAGA
rnacentral:lncRNA from 1 species